rnacentral:tRNA from 1 species
GCCUUCUUAGCUCAGUGGUAGGGCGUUGGUCUCGUCAACCAAAGGUCGAGAGAUCAAUCCUCUCAGUAGGCA